UACGUAGGUCACGAGCGUUAUCCGGAAUUAUUGGGCGUAAAGGGCUUGUAGGUUGUCAAGCGGGUCUAUGGUAAAAUUCUGGAGCUUAACUCCAGUUUCGCCACAGAAACUACUUGGCUUUGAGGAUAGCAGGGGCAAAUGGAAUUCUCGGUGUAGCAGUGAAAUGCGUUGAUAUCGAGAAGAACACCAAUGGCGAAGGCAAUUUGCUAGGCUAUUCCUGACACUGAAAAGCGAAAGCGUGGGGAGCGAACGGG
rnacentral:rRNA from 1 species